rnacentral:rRNA from 1 species
CGCAGCCGCGGUAAUUCCAGCUCCAAUAGCGUAUAUUAAAGUUGUUGCAGUUAAAAAGCUCGUAGUUGAAUUUCGGGAUCAGUACGCUGGUCGUGCCUUUGGUAUGUACUGGUGUCACUGAUUCCUCCCUUCUGAAGAACCGUUAUGCCAUUUAUUUGGUGUGGCGGGGAAUCAGGACUGUUACUUUGAAAAAAUUAGAGUGUUUAAAGCAGGCUCGCGCUUGAAUACAUUAGCAUGGAAUAAUGAAAUAGGACGUUUGAUUCUUAUUUUGUUGGUUUCUAGGAUCGACGUAAUGAUUAAUAGGGAUAGUUGGGGGCAUUAGUAUUCAAUUGUCAGAGGUGAAAUUCUUGGAUUUAUUG